rnacentral:rRNA from 1 species
UGAAUACGAGAUGCUACGGCAUCGAAGCAGUCUAUGUCAUACUUCCAAGAAAAGCUUGCACUGUCAUAAACAAAUAAUGCCUGUACCAUAACCGACACAGGUGGGUAGGUAGAGUAUACUAAGGGGCGCGAGAUAACUCUCUCUAAGGAACUCGGCAAAAUGACUCCGUAACUUCGGGAGAAGGAGUGCCUUAUUUUAUAAGGUUGCAAUAACAAGAUCCAAGCAACUGUUUACCAAAAACACAGGUCUCCGCUAAGUCGUAAGACGAUGUAUGGGGGCUGACGCCUGCCCAGUGCCAGAAGGUUAAAGAAGUUGGUUAGCAUUAGCGAAGCUGAUAACUGAAGCCCUGGUGAACGGCGGCCGUAACUAUAACGGUCCUAAGGUAGCGAAAUUCCUUGUCGGGUAAGUUCCGACCCGCACGAAAGGCGUAAUGAUUUGGAUACUGUCUCGGAGAGGGGCUCGGUGAAAUAGACUUGUCUGUGAAGAUGCGGACUACCUGCACCAGGACAGAAAGACCCUAUGAAGCUUUACUGUAACUUGAGAUUGAAAUUGGACUUUAUUUGCGCAGUAUAGGUGGGAGACGUUGAAAAUAUUCUUGCGGGAAUAUUGGAGUCAUCAGUGAGAUACCACUCUUAUAAUGUUAGAUUUCUAACUUUGUAUCAUUAUCUGGUCAAAGAACAGUCUCAGGCGGGCAGUUUGACUGGGGCGGUCGCCUCCCAAACGGUAACGGAGGCGCACAAAGGUUUCCUCUGAACGUGUAGAAAUCGUAUCUAGAGUGUAAAGGCAUAAGGAAGCUUGACUGUGAGACCUACAAGUCGAGCAGGGACGAAAGUCGGUCUUAGUGAUCUGACGGUGCUGAGUGGAAAGGCCGUCACUCAACGGAUAAAAGUUACUCUAAGGAUAACAGGCUGAUCUCCCCCAAGAGUUCACAUCGACGGGGAGGUUUGGCACCUGAUGUCGGCUCAUCGCAUCCUGGGGCGGUAGUACGUCCCAAGGGUUGGGCUGUUCGCCCAUGAAAGCGGUACGCGAGCUGGGUUCAGAACGUCGUGAGACAGUUCGGUCCAUAUCCGGUGUAGGCGUUAGAAUAUUGAGAGGAGCCUUCUUUAGUACGAGAGGACCGAGAAGGACAUACCUCUGGUGUACCAGUUAUCGUGCCAACGGUAAACGCUGGGUAGCUAUGUAUGGAGAGGAUAACCGCUGAAAGCAUCUAAGUGGGAAGCCCACCUCAAGAUAAGUAUUCUC